AUGCCAUGUUAUGGACACUCUCUUUGAAGAUCUUUGUACCUUUCCCAUGCAUCAAAGAGAGAUUCAUUGUCUUUUUAUUUAAAGGUGUUGAGUUCAGCUCUUAGUUU